AACGCGAAGAACCUUACCGGGGCUUGACAUCCUACGACAUCCUAAGAGAUUAGGUUUUCUAGCAAUAGAACGUAGAGACAGGUGCUGCAUGGCUGUCGUCAGCUCGUGCCGUGAGGUGUUGGGUUAAGUCCCGCAACGAGCGCAACCCUUGUCGUGUGUUGGUAGGUAACUAUCUCUCACGCGAGACCGCCGGUGACAAGCCGGAGGAAGGUGGGGAUGACGUCAAGUCAGCAUGGCCCUUACGUCCCGGGCUACACACGUGCUACAAUGGGGAGGACAGCGAGUCGCGAACCCGCGAGGGUAAGCCAAUCUCUUAAACCUCUCCUCAGUUCGGAUUGAAGGCUGCAACUCGCCUUCAUGAAGUCGGAAUCGCUAGUAAACGCAGAUCAGCUACGCUGCGUUGAAUACGUUCCCGGGCCUUGUA
rnacentral:rRNA from 1 species